rnacentral:rRNA from 1 species
GUGGGGAAUCUUCCGCAAUGGACGAAAGUCUGACGGAGCAACGCCGCGUGAGUGAAGAAGGUUUUCGGAUCGUAAAGCUCUUUCGUUAGGGACGAACGUGCUCUUUGUGAAUAAUGAGGAGUAAUGACGGUACCUAAAUAAGAAGCCACGGCUAACUACGUGCCAGCAGCCGCGGUAAUACGUAGGUGGCAAGCGUUGUCCGGAAUUAUUGGGCGUAAAGCGCGCGCAGGCGGGAUAUCAAGUCUGUCUUAAAAGUGCGGGGCUCAACCUCGUGAGGGGACAGAAACUGGUAUUCUUGAGUGUCGGAGAGGAAAGUGGAAUUCCAAGUGUAGCGGUGAAAUGCGUAGAGAUUUGGAAGAACACCAGUGGCGAAGGCGACUUUCUGGACGAUGUCUGACGCUGAGGCGCGAAAGCUAGGGGAGCGAACGGGAUUAGAAACCCGAGUAGUCC